UACGUAGGGACAGAGCGUUGUCCGGAAUCAUUGGGCGUAAAGCGCGUGUAGGCGGCAGGGUAUGUCGGAUGUGAAAUCCCGUGGCUCAACCACGGAAGUGCACCCGAAACUACCCGGCUAGAGUCUCGGAGAGGAAGGCGGAAUGCUUGGUGUAGAGGUGAAAUUCGUAGAUAUCAAGCGGAACACCGGUGGCGAAGGCGGCCUUCUGGACGAUGACUGACGCUGAGACGCGAAAGCGUGGGGAGCAAACAGG
rnacentral:rRNA from 1 species